GUGCCGCUACAAAAUUGGUAGUACGGAUGGGGUCGGUCAACCGUCAUCUUCAGCAUGUUCGGGGAACGUUUUAGUCCUUCAGUCUGGUUUUACGCAUAAACACAAUGUUUAUCGGACAUUGAGAUAAAUUCAACAAGGAGAGCUUCACUUCAUGUCACCGGUUCCGGCUUAUUUUUUGUUCGAGGAUGUGAAUUGAUAUUAUUUUAACUUUAACGUUGGAGAGAGAAAUUCAGCUGCAGGGGUUGGAUUGAGCCCCCACAUCGCCCGGGUUUUCGACGUUGGGACCUUACAUGUGCCGUUGAGCUCAGGAGAAAGAACCCUUCGUCCUGGGACUCACGCGUGGCUGCAUUGUAGCGAGGAGUCGAGGGACCUGUGAAAACCACUGCAAAUAGACCUGACGGGGUAGCAUAGCUGGUUUCCACUAAAACCCUCCGGAUUAGUUGGUACCGACGAAGUCUGGUGAUUUCACAUUACACUGCGGUGAGAGGAGUCGUUUAACUGCGCGAGAAUCGUCUUGGAAGGGGCUGUAAAGGAACUCAGCAGGGCGAUUGCUUUUCCUUUGGUCGUCUCAUGAGGAUGGAUUGAGGUUAGGUACUGAAGGCCGCAGGCGCUAGUCCGGCUCGGGGAGUUGGACGCUAUCGAGGAGCUCCGAGACAUCGUUCUUCCAACCAACGCUUCGACACGGCCCUUCAUCUUCGUCAUCGACGUGGUGUGGUAGACCCUGUCUUCGAUAUCUUCGACGGUGGAAGCUGGCACUGUCGUUUGGAAGCCGAUAGCCUUGGCGAGUGAAGCAGCAGGAGUCGCUGGAAAACUACAUAUCAGACGGCAGGAUGGUGUCAAACGGAACUGGAGGAGGCAUGGGAUAUCCACCUCUGAUGGUAGUUUUGAUAUCAUCCCAAAGUCUUGGUAAAUGGUAGAAAACAAGUAAUGUUUGGGUUAUUUUUUUGUCCAUGUAAAAGGACUUGUAAAAU